GGCCCUGUAGCUCAACUGGUUAGAGCAUUCGAUUUAUAAUCGAAAGGUUGCUGGUUCAAGCCCAGCCAGGUCCA
rnacentral:tRNA from 1 species